GAAUUCGCCCUUAGAGUUUGAUCCUGGCUCAGGACGAACGCUGGCGGCGCGCCUAACACAUGCAAGUCGAACGAGAGAUGAGGAGCUUGCUCUUCAAAUCGAGUGGCGAAUGGGUGAGUAACGCGUGAGGAACCUGCCUCAAAGAGGGGGACAACAGUUGGAAACGACUGCUAAUACCGCAUAAGCCCACGGCUCGGCAUCGAGCAGAGGGAAAAGGAGCAAUCCGCUUUGAGAUGGCCUCGCGUCCGAUUAGCUAGUUGGUGAGGUAACGGCCCACCAAGGCGACGAUCGGUAGCCGGACUGAGAGGUUGAACGGCCACAUUGGGACUGAGACACGGCCCAGACUCCUACGGGAGGCAGCAGUGGGGAAUAUUGCACAAUGGGGGAAACCCUGAUGCAGCGACGCCGCGUGGAGGAAGAAGGUCUUCGGAUUGUAAACUCCUGUUGUUGAGGAAGAUAAUGACGGUACUCAACAAGGAAGUGACGGCUAACUACGUGCCAGCAGCCGCGGUAAAACGUAGGUCACAAGCGUUGUCCGGAAUUACUGGGUGUAAAGGGAGCGCAGGCGGGAGAACAAGUUGGAAGUGAAAUCCAUGGGCUCAACCCAUGAACUGCUUUCAAAACUGUUUUUCUUGAGUAGUGCAGAGGUAGGCGGAAUUCCCGGUGUAGCGGUGGAAUGCGUAGAUAUCGGGAGGAACACCAGUGGCGAAGGCGGCCUACUGGGCACCAACUGACGCUGAGGCUCGAAAGUGUGGGUAGCAAACAGGAUUAGAUACCCUGGUAGUCCACACCGUAAACGAUGAUUACUAGGUGUUGGAGGAUUGACCCCUUCAGUGCCGCAGUUAACACAAUAAGUAAUCCACCUGGGGAGUACGACCGCAAGGUUGAAACUCAAAGGAAUUGACGGGGGCCCGCACAAGCAGUGGAGUAUGUGGUUUAAUUCGACGCAACGCGAAGAACCUUACCAAGUCUUGACAUCCCUUGACGAUGCCGGAAACAGUAUUUCUCUUCGGAGCAAGGAGACAGGUGGUGCAUGGUUGUCGUCAGCUCGUGUCGUGAGAUGUUGGGUUAAGUCCCGCAACGAGCGCAACCCUUAUGGUCAGUUACUACGCAAGAGGACUCUGGCCAGACUGCCUUUGACAAAACGGAGGAAGGUGGGGAUGACGUCAAAUCAUCAUGCCCUUUAUGACUUGGGCUACACACGUACUACAAUGGCGUUAAACAAAGAGAAGCAAGACCGCGAGGUGGAGCAAAGCUCAGAAACAACGUCCCAGUUCGGACUGCAGGCUGCAACUCGCCUGCACGAAGUCGGAAUUGCUAGUAAUCGUGGAUCAGCAUGCCACGGUGAAUACGUUCCCGGGCCUUGCACACACCGCCCGUCA
rnacentral:rRNA from 1 species